UAAAUGAUGUAUGGGAGUCAGACUGCACGAGAUAAGUUGGGUAGUCAAAAGGGAAAGAGCCCAGACCUACAGCUAAGGUCCCAAAGUGUGUGUUAAGUGGAAAAGGAUGUGGGAUUUCAAAGACAACUAGGAUGUUGGCUCAGAAGCAGCCACACAUUCAAAGAGUGCGUAAUAGCUCACUAGUCGAGAGGUCCUGCGCCGAAAAUGUCCGGGGCUGAAACACAACACCGAAGCUUAGGAAUGUAUGUAAGUACAUUGGUAGAGGAGCAUUCUUAGUGCGGAGAAGCGGUACCGAUAAGGAGCCGUGGAGCGCUAAGAAGAGAGAAUGCCGGAAUGAGUAGCGAGAUGGAGGUGGGAAUCCUCCAGGCCGAAUAUCCAAGGUUUCCAGAGUAAAGCUGAUCUGCUCUGGGUAAGUCGGGGCCUAAGGCGAGGCUGAGAGGCGUAGUCGAUGGACAACAGGUUGAAAUUCCUGUACCAUGUAUCAUCAGAACUGUGGGGACACAGAAGGACAACACAUCCCGGGAAUGGGAAUACCGGGGCAAGCGAGGUAGGAGUACGGUUGGCAAAUCCGCCGUGCAAUCCGAAGACGUGACGCGCAGCGAACUAAAGUAGCGAAGUGUGUGAUUCCGGCUGUCAAGAAAAGCCGCUAUUGUGUGAUACAUGCCCGUACCGUAAACCGACACAGGUAGAUGAGGAGAGAAUCCUAAGGCCGGCGGGAGAAGCAUUGUUAAGGAACUCGGCAAAAUGACCCCGUAACUUCGGGAGAAGGGGUGCCACAGAGAUGUGGCCGCAGAGAAUAGGCUCAAGCAACUGUUUAGCAAAAACACAGGUCUAUGCAAAACCGUAAGGUGAGGUAUAUGGGCUGACGCCUGCCCGGUGCUGGAAGGUUAAGAGGAGAGGUUAGCGCAAGCGAAGCUUUGAAUUUAAGCCCCAGUAAACGGCGGCCGUAACUAUAACGGUCCUAAGGUAGCGAAAUUCCUUGUCGGGUAAGUUCCGACCCGCACGAAAGGCGUAAUGAUUUGAGCGCUGUCUCAACAAUGCACCCGGUGAAAUUGAAAUACCAGUGAAGAUGCUGGUUACCUGCGCCAGGACGGAAAGACCCCAUGGAGCUUUACUCCAGUUUGAUACUGGGAUUCGGUAUUGCAUGUACAGGAUAGGUGGGAGGCUUUGAAACAUGGACGCCAGUCUGUGUGGAGCCAAUGUUGGGAUACCACCCUUGCGAUAUUGGGUUUCUAACCUGCGCCCGUGACCCGGGCGGGGGACAAUGUCAGGCGGGGAGUUUGACUGGGGCGGUCGCCUCCGAAAGGGUAUCGGAGGCGCUCAAAGGUUCCCUCAGGAUGGUUGGAAACCAUCCAAAGAGUGCAAAGGCAUAAGGGAGCUUGACUGCGACACCGACGGGUGGAGCAGGUACGAAAGUAGGACUUAGUGAUCCGGUGGUAUGAAAGUGGGAUUGCCAUCGCUCAACGGAUAAAAGCUACCCUGGGGAUAACAGGCUUAUCACUCCCAAGAGUUCACAUCGACGGAGUGGUUUGGCACCUCGAUGUCGGCUCAUCGCAUCCUGGGGCUGUAGCAGGUCCCAAGGGUUGGGCUGUUCGCCCAUUAAAGCGGUACGCGAGCUGGGUUCAGAACGUCGUGAGACAGUUCGGUCCCUAUCCGGCGCGGGCGUAGGAUAUCUGAGAGGAGCUGUCCUUAGUACGAGAGGACCGGGAUGGACAGACCGCUGGUGUACCUGUUGGCUUACCAAGGCCAUGGCAGGGUAGCCAAGUCUGGACGGGAUAAACGCUGAAGGCAUCUAAGCGUGAAGCCCCCCUCAAGAUGAGAUAUCCCAUCGCGAAAGCGAGUAAGACCCCUUGAAGACGACGAGGUAGAUAGGUUAGAGGUGGAAGUGCAGUAAUGUACGGAGCUGACUAAUACUAAUCGGUCGAGGGCUUAUCCAG
rnacentral:rRNA from 2 species